rnacentral:rRNA from 1 species
ACGGUGGAGCAUGUGGUUUAAUUCGAAGCAGCGCGAAGAACCUUACCAGGUCUUGACAUCCCGAUGCUAUUCUAGAGAUAGAAAGUUACUUCGGUACAUCGGUGACAGGUGGUGCAUGGUUGUCGUCAGCUCGUGUCGUGAGAUGUUGGGUUAAGUCCCGCAACGAGCGCAACCCCUAUUGUUAGUUGCCAUCAUUCAGUUGGGCACUCUAGCGAGACUGCCGGUAAUAAACCGGAGGAAGUGGGGAUGACGUCAAAUCAUCAUGCCCCUUAUGACCUGGGCUACACACGUGCUACAAUGGUUGGUACAACGAGUUGCGAGUCGGUGACGGCGAGCUAAUCUCUUAAAGCCAAUCUCAGUUCGGAUUGUAGGCUGCAACUCGCCUACAUGAAGUCGGAAUCGCUAGUAAUCGCGGAUCAGCACGCCCGCGGUCGAAUACGUUCCGGGCCUU